rnacentral:lncRNA from 1 species
CAAAAUAACUUUUUCCUAAAAAAAAAUCCCUUGUUUUUAAUGUCUGUGCCAUCCAUACCCUUGUAACCCUAGCUAUAAAUGUUAAUUUUACACAAAACAAUCAGCUUUAUUCUACUUUUACUCACCCUAGCCGUUCAUCCCUCUUCUCUUCUCCUUGAUCUUCAAUUUUUUUCUUUCUUCCUCCAUUAUUGUCGUCGCCUACACCUAGUUUUACCAUCUCUUUCUUUUUCUUUUUGUCUCAAGAUUUGUUAACAUCUUCUCC